rnacentral:rRNA from 1 species
GUCCAGACUCCUACGGGAGGCAGCAGUGGGGAAUAUUGGGCAAUGGGCGCAAGCCUGACCCAGCAACGCCGCGUGAAGGAAGAAGGCUCUCGGGUUGUAAACUUCUUUUAUCAGGGACGAAGCAAGUGACGGUACCUGAUGAAUAAGCCACGGCUAACUACGUGCCAGCAGCCGCGGUAAUACGUAGGUGGCAAGCGUUAUCCGGAUUUACUGGGUGUAAAGGGCGUGUAGGCGGGAAAGCAAGUCAGAUGUGAAAACCAUGGGCUCAACCUGUGGCCUGCAUUUGAAACUGUUUUUCUUGAGUACUGGAGAGGCAGACGGAAUUCCUAGUGUAGCGGUGAAAUGCGUAGAUAUACGGAGGGACACCAGUGGCGAAGGCGGAUUGCUGGACAGUAACUGACGCUGAGGCGCGAAAGCGUGGGGAGCAAACAGGAUUAGAUACCCCCGUACC